AUACCUUUCUCGGCCUUUUGGCUAAGAUCAAGUGUAGUAUCUGUUCUUAUCAGUUUAAUAUCUGAUACGUGGGCCAUUGGCCCACAUGAUAUUAAAUUUAUUUUUUGAGGGGGCGGUUCAUCACAGUAGCUUGCUACUGGGGCUUUAGAGCGUCGGCUGUGCGUUGCACUAUAGUUUGGGCCUGGCGCACCCCAA
rfam:Gossypium raimondii chromosome 13, whole genome shotgun sequence.